GCGCUGCCUUUGAGCCCCCGCUGCGCCUGCGCGUGGCGCCGGGGGUCAGGCUGCAGCGCCAGAGCACGUGCAAGCGCAUAACUGGGGCCGACGGCUCCCCGCCGGUGGCCCUUUUAACCGCUGGCGACAGGC